UACGAAGGGGGCGAGCGUUGUUCGGAUUUACUGGGCGUAAAGGGCGCGCAGGCGGCUCAUUUUGUCAGGCGUGAAAGCCCCGGGCUUAACCUGGGAACUGCGUUUGAUACGGAUGGGCUAGAGUUCGGGAGAGGAGAGUGGAAUUCCCAGUGUAGAGGUGAAAUUCGUAGAUAUUGGGAAGAACACCGGUGGCGAAGGCGGCUCUCUGGACCGAUACUGACGCUGAGGCGUGAAAGCGUGGGGAGCAAACAGG
rnacentral:rRNA from 1 species